rnacentral:rRNA from 1 species
AACGAACGCUGGCGGCAGGCCUAACACAUGCAAGUCGAACGCUCCGCAAGGGGAGUGGCAGACGGGUGAGUAACACGUGGGAAUCUUCCUAUUGGUACGGAAUAGCUCAGGGAAACUUGGGGUAAUACCGUAUAAGCCCGAGAGGGGAAAGAUUUAUCGCCAGUAGAUGAGCCCGCGUCUGAUUAGCUAGUUGGUGAGGUAAUGGCUCACCAAGGCGACGAUCAGUAGCUGGUCUGAGAGGAUGAUCAGCCACACUGGGACUGAGACACGGCCCAGACUCCUACGGGAGGCAGCAGUGGGGAAUAUUGGACAAUGGGCGCAAGCCUGAUCCAGCCAUGCCGCGUGAGUGACGAAGGUCUUCGGAUUGUAAAGCUCUUUUGGCGGGGACGAUAAUGACGGUACCCGCAGAAUAAGCCCCGGCUAACUUCGUGCCAGCAGCCGCGGUAACAC